UUGGACUCGGGCAGCCGGAACAAACUGAAAUGUCAGUCACUGGACUGACAGGUGAGAGUGUCCAAAUACCCUGUAAAGUUUCUCUCCCAGAUUUUGACAAAAUAGAUAUACACUGGUACCGUCACAAAACAAAGCAACAGUUUGAGUAUCUAAUAUAUGUCAGAAUGGAGUACAAUCAACGCCCCUUGGAAGGGAAGAAAAAGAAAAUUGAAGGCACUAAAGACUUUGUAACUUCUACUUCAACCUUGAAAGUAAAUUUCUUGAAGAAGGAGGAUGAAGCCACCUACUACUGUGCAGCCUGGAUAUUAGCACAGCAUUAG